rnacentral:rRNA from 1 species
CAGCCGCCGCGGUAACACGAAGGGUGCAAGCGUUACUCGGAAUUACUGGGCGUAAAGCGUGCGUAGGUGGUUGUUUAAGUCUGCUGUGAAAGCCCUGGGCUCAACCUGGGAAUUGCAGUGGAUACUGGGCGACUAGAGUAAGGUAGAGGAUAGUGGAAUUUCCGGUGUAGCAGUGAAAUGCGUAGAGAUCGGAAGGAACAUCUGUGGCGAAGGCGACUAUCUGGGCCAUUACUGACACUGAGGCACGAAAGCGUGGGGAGCAAACAGGAUUAGAUACCCGGGUAGUCCCUGUCUCUUAUAC